rnacentral:rRNA from 1 species
AUUGAACGCUGGCGGCAGGCCUAACACAUGCAAGUCGAGCGAGCGGCGGACGGGUGAGUAAUGUCUGGGAAACUGCCUGAUGGAGGGGGAUAACUACUGGAAACGGUAGCUAAUACCGCAUACCAUCAGAUGUGCCCAGAUGGGAUUAGCUAGUAGGUGGGGUAACGGCUCACCUAGGCGACGAUCCCUCGCUGGUCUGAGAGGAUGACCAGCAACACUGGAACGGAGCAACGGUCCAGACCCCUACGGAAGGCGCCAGUGGGGAAGAUUGCACAAUGGGCGCAAGCCUGAUGCAGCCAGGCCGCGGGGUUGAGGAAGGCCUUCGGUUUGUAAGGCACUUUCAUCGGGGAGGCGUUACCCGCAGAAGAAGCACCGGCUAACUCCGUGCCAGCAGCCGCGGUAAUAC